rnacentral:misc_RNA from 1 species
AAAAAAAAAAAAAAAAAUCUAUUAAUAAACUGAUGUGUCUGAAGCAAAUCACUUAAACAAACAAAACUUUCAACAACGGAUCUCUUGGUUCCGGCAUCGAUGAAGAACGCAGCGAAAUGCGAUAAGUAAUGUGGACCGCAGUACUCAGCGACUCAUCGAAUCUUUGAACGCACAUUGCGCCCCUUGGUAUCACCAAAGGGCACACCUGUUCGAGCGUCAUCAUACAUCAAUCAAGUUUUGGGCCCGGCUUGCUCUUGGGCUUUGUCUGCUUUAUGUAGAAGUCUAAAAAUCAGUGGCGGUUAAGUUAGGCAUUCCAGCGUAGUGAUUUUAUUAGCUGAUGAGAUGUCUUUCACAUAACAGUCAACAUAUCUAAAGUUUCUGCUGGCGGAAAUUUUAUCAAUUAUUGACC